AACGAACGCUGGCGGCAUGCCUAACACAUGCAAGUCGAACGAUACCUUCCCGUCUAGUGGCGAACGGGUGCGUAACGCGUGGGAACGUGCCUUAAGGUGCGGAAUAAUUCCCCGUAAGGGGUGCUAAUACCGGAUAAUGUCGUCGGACCAAAGAUUUUUCGCGUUUGGAUGGGCAGGCGUUGGAUUAGAUUGUUGGUACGGUGAAAGGCUACCAAGGCGACGAUCAAUAGGUGGUCAGAGAGGAUGGUCAGCAACACUGGCACUGGGACGCGGCCCAGACUCCUACAGGAGGCGGCAGUGAGGAAUAUUGCACAGUGGGCGAAAGCCUGAUGGAGCAAUGCCGGGUGAGUGAUGAAGUCCUUAGGGUAGUAGAGCUCUUUUACCCGGGAUGAUAAUGACAGUACCGGGAGAAUAAGCGCCGGCUAACUCCGUG
rnacentral:rRNA from 1 species